GCUGCCGACCAUACUAUGUUUAAUGUGCUGGAUCCCUUUCGAACUCCAUUGCUAAGAAACAUAAGGCCUGUGUAGUACCGGUCUAGGGGGACUAACCGGGAACGACAAG
rnacentral:rRNA from 1 species